UCGAAUCCAAUUGUGUACUCUUACUAUUACGUUAUGGAGUGCCGUUUGUAUCAAAAUCCUUUUUUUAAGGACAAUGUCCACGAGAAGGCGUUAUUCCUCGAGCCACGGAUAUUUACUAAACAUCAGUGUUAUAAAAAGCAGUGCAAAACAGUGAUAUUUAGUAAUAAGUACAAUACAAUACACGUAUAAAAUUACAUUGAAAACCUUGUUUGGGACAGCCAGCACUGGCCGGUUAACGGAAUAGCGAGUAGCCGUGCUUCAGGGUGAGUUUUGUGCAGUAAACAUGUAGCUAGCUAUAGCAUUCCGUGCCAAGCCGUUUGGCUGGUAUAUCGAGGUGGCCGUACUUCAGGGAGCCGGAAUAGCGAGAGUCUACUGUAGUGCAUUCUGUGUACCAAUGCAUGGGUGUGCUUGUGUUAGAGUCAUCCCGCCACACUUAGAAGGGCGUGACGUUAUCAUUUUUCUGCCAAGAAGCUAGCUGAGCAGUUAUGGAGUAUUUAUGAUUCUCUAGUACCUAGAGGUAUUGUAGCCUCGAUACCAGGCUGCAUGCACUUUUCUCAAGGCCUAUGAGGAGGCUAGGAGUAUUGUAGCCAUGCUUACGUAGGUAUAUCCACUCAAUAUUGUUGACAGGAUUGUCUUCUUUCAAAUCAGAGGCACGUACAUAGCACGUACAUACCCUUGGCUCUAUUGAGAAACUGAUGGUGGAGUCAGUGGAUCCCGUCGGACAUUAAUUAAACCCCCUCAUCGACAGUUCACUGUUUCUAUCACCACACCCUGCAUGUUUAUCAUUAAUGUUAUAAAUUA